AUUGAACGCUGGCGGCAUGCCUUACACAUGCAAGUCGAACGGCAGCGGGGGAGAAGCUUGCUUUUCCUGCCGGCGAGUGGCGAACGGGUGAGUAAUACAUCGGAACGUGCCCUGUAGUGGGGGAUAACUAGUCGAAAGAUUAGCUAAUACCGCAUACGACCUGAGGGUGAAAGUGGGGGACCGCAAGGCCUCAUGCUAUAGGAGCGGCCGAUGUCUGAUUAGCUAGUUGGUGGGGUAAAGGCCUACCAAGGCGACGAUCAGUAGCUGGUCUGAGGGGACGAUCAGCCACACUGGGACUGAGACACGGCCCAGACUCCUACGGGAGGCAGCAGUGGGGAAUUUUGGACAAUGGGCGAAAGCCUGAUCCGGCAAUGCCGCGUGUGUGAAGAAGGCCUUCGGGUUGUAAAGCACUUUAGUCCGGAAAGAAAUGGCUCUGGUUAAUACCUGGGGUCGAUGACGGUACCGGAAGAAUAAGGACCGGCUAACUACGUGCCAGCCGCCGCCGUAA
rnacentral:rRNA from 1 species